GACGAACGCUGGCGGCGUGGAUUAGGCAUGCAAGUCGAACGGUAUCAUCCUUUCGGGGAUGAGAGAGUGGCGAACGGGUGAGUAACACGUAGGUGAUCUACCCUCAAGACGGGGACAACCCAGGGAAACUUGGGCUAAUACCGGAUGUGAGCUAUCGUGAGAUAGUUUGAAAGGUGGCCUCGGCUGCCGCUUGAGGAUGAGCCUGCGUCCUAUUAGCUAGUUGGUGAGGUAACGGCUCACCGAGGCAGUGAUAGGUAGGCGGCCUUAACGGGUGGUCGCCCACACUGGGAUUGAGAUACGGCCCAGACUCCUACGGGAGGCAGCAGUCGAGAAUAGUCUACAAUGGUCGAAAGACUGAUAGUGCGACGCCGCGUGAACGAAGAAGCCCUUCGGGGUGUAAAGUUCUUUUAUAUGUGAGCAGUGACAUCUAUAUUAAUAGUAUGGGUGUAGAGAUAUUAGCAUAUGAAUAAGCAACGGCUAACUCCGUGCC
rnacentral:rRNA from 1 species